UCGAGCGGAAGGCCACUUCGGUGGUACUCGAGCGGCGAACGGGUGAGUAACACGUGAGUAAUCUGCCCUUGGCUUUGGGAUAGCCACCGGAAACGGUGAUUAAUACCGGAUACGACCACUUCUCGCAUGGGAUGGUGGUGGAAAGUUUUUCGGCCAGGGAUGUGCUCGCGGCCUAUCAGCUUGAUGGUGAGGUAAUGGCUCACCAUGGCUUCGACGGGUAGCCGGCCUGAGAGGGUGACCGGUCACACUGGGACUGAGACACGGCCCAGACUCCUACGGGAGGCAGCAGUGGGGAAUAUUGGACAAUGGGCGGAAGCCUGAUCCAGCAACGCCGCGUGAGGGAUGACGGCCUUCGGGUUGUAAACCUCUUUCAGCAGGGACGAAGCGCAAGUGACGGUACCUGCAGAAGAAGCACCGGCCAACUACGUGCCAGCAGCCGCGGUAAUACGUAGGGUGCGAGCGUUGUCCGGAAUUAUUGGGCGUAAAGGGCUCGUAGGCGGUUUGUCGCGUCGGGAGUGAAAACCAGGUGCUUAACACCUGGCUUGCUUUCGAUACGGGCAGACUAGAGGUAUUCAGGGGAGAACGGAAUUCCUGGUGUAGCGGUGAAAUGCGCAGAUAUCAGGAGGAACACCGGUGGCGAAGGCGGUUCUCUGGGAAUAUCCUGACGCUGAGGAGCGAAAGUGUGGGGAGCGAACAGGAUUAGAUACCCUGGUAGUCCACACCGUAAACGUUGGGCGCUAGGUGUGGGGUCCAUUCCACGGAUUCCGUGCCGCAGCUAACGCAUUAAGCGCCCCGCCUGGGGAGUACGGCCGCAAGGCUAAAACUCAAAGGAAUUGACGGGGGCCCGCACAAGCGGCGGAGCAUGCGGAUUAAUUCGAUGCAACGCGAAGAACCUUACCUGGGUUUGACAUACACCCUGCCGCUCCAGAGAUGGGGCUUCUUUUGGGGGUGUACAGGUGGUGCAUGGCUGUCGUCAGCUCGUGUCGUGAGAUGUUGGGUUAAGUCCCGCAACGAGCGCAACCCUCGUUCUAUGUUGCCAGCAUGCCCUUCGGGGUGAUGGGGACUCAUAGGAGACUGCCGGGGUCAACUCGGAGGAAGGUGGGGAUGACGUCAAGUCAUCAUGCCCCUUAUGUCCAGGGCUUCACGCAUGCUACAAUGGCCGGUACAAAGGGCUGCGAUCCCGUAAGGGGGAGCGAAUCCCAAAAAGCCGGUCUCAGUUCGGAUUGGGGUCUGCAACUCGACCCCAUGAAGUCGGAGUCGCUAGUAAUCGCAGAUCAGCAACGCUGCGGUGAAUACGUUCCCGGGCCUUGUACACACCGCCCGUCACGUCA
rnacentral:rRNA from 1 species